GCAGCUCAGUUGGUCAGUGUGUGGUGCUGAUAACUCCAAGGUUGCAGGUUCGAUCCCUGUAUGUGACA